UACGGAGGAUCCAAGCGUUAUCCGGAUUUAUUGGGUUUAAAGGGUGCGUAGGCGGCUUAUUAAGUCAGGGGUGAAAGACGGUGGCUCAACCAUCGCAGUGCCCUUGAUACUGAUGAGCUUGAAUGAACUAGAGGUAGGCGGAAUGUGACAAGUAGCGGUGAAAUGCAUAGAUAUGUCACAGAACACCGAUUGCGAAGGCAGCUUACUAUGGUUUUAUUGACGCUGAGGCAC
rnacentral:rRNA from 1 species